GACGAACGCUGGCGGCGUGCUUAACACAUGCAAGUCGAACGGAAAGGCCCUGCUUUUGUGGGGUGCUCGAGUGGCGAACGGGUGAGUAACACGCGAGUAACCUGCCCUUGACUUUGGGAUAACUUCUGGAAACUGGGGCUAAUAUCGGAUAGGAGCUCCUGCUGCAUGGUGGGGGUUGGAAAGUUUCGGCGGUUUGGGCUGGACUCGCGGCUUAUCAGCUUGUUGGUGGGGUAGUGGCUUACCAAGGCUUUGACGGGUAGCCGGCCUGGGAGGGUGACCGGCCACAUUGGGACUGAGAUACGGCGCAGACUGCUACGGGAGGCAGCAGUGGGGAAUAUUGCACAAUGGGCGGAAGCCUGAUGCGGCGACGCCGCGUGCGGGAUGACGGCCUUCGGGUUGUAAACCGCUUUCGCCUGUGACGAAGCGUGAGUGACGGUAAUGGGUAAAGAAGCACCGGCUAACUACGUG
rnacentral:rRNA from 1 species